rnacentral:tRNA from 1 species
GUUUAAAUAGCUUAAAAUUUAAAGCUUUUCAUUGAAGAUGAAAAAAUGAUAUUUAAUAUCUUUAAACA